GAUGAAGAACGCAGCGAAAUGCGAUAAGUAAUGUGAAUUGCAGAAUUCAGUGAAUCAUCGAAUCUUUGAACGCACAUUGCGCCCGCCAGUAUUCUGGCGGGCAUGCCUGUCCGAGCGUCAUUUCAACCCUCGAACCCCUCCGGGGGGUCGGCGUUGGGGACUUCGGGAACCCCUAAGACGGGAUCCCGGCCCCGAAAUACAGUGGCGGUCUCGCCGCAGCCUCUCCUGCGCAGUAGUUUGCACAACUCGCACCGGGAGCGCGGCGCGUCCACGUCCGUAAAACACCCAACUUUCUGAAAUGUUGACCUCGGAUCAGGUAGGAAUACCCGCUGAACUUAAGCAUAUCAAUAAGCGGAGGA
rnacentral:misc_RNA from 1 species